rnacentral:rRNA from 1 species
AGAUCAAACUGUUGGUCGUGCCUUGGUACGUACUGGCAUUAUUGAUUUCUCCCUUCUGAAGAACUACGAUGUCAUUAAUUUGGUGUCGUGGGGAAUCAGGACUGUUACUUUGAAAAAAUUGGAGUGUUUAAAGCAGGCUUACGCUUGAAUACAUUAGCAUGGAAUAAUGAAAUAGGACGUUUGAUUCUAUUUUGUUGGUUUCUAGGAUUGACGUA